UGAAACUCUCUUGCUUCUCUAA
rnacentral:miRNA from 1 species